rnacentral:tRNA from 1 species
GUAAUUAUAGUUUAUAAUAAAAUAUUAUUUUUGUAAAAUAAAGAAAAUUAGUAGUUUAAUUACU